CUAACUAAUUCUAACUUACUCUUAGAAAUAUCUCCUAAGUUAAUUAUGUAUAGUUUUUUGUGCGAAUACCUCCUAACUUUAUUGAAACAUUUUCUAACUUGAUGAAAGCACUAUUUUGAAUAAGACUGGAGUGAAUGAGGCGGCCUACGCGUGAAAGAGACAGGACAUGUGUUUCGUUUGGUGCGCACUGCGCGUUGCGUCGCGUCGUUCAGUCGUUCUGUAGCUCAGUUACCGGCAAGUAGUUUGACAUACGACAAUUUUGUGACCUUUACGAUUUAAAAAUAAAUUUUGUGUUUGGUUAAUUAACAUUUUAAAGUAAUAUUCAGCUGCAGCUGUUUGGAUAAGCUAGAUUCUUAGCAAAACUGAAUAAUGUCAGGAUGGGCAAAACGUAUUCAAAGAUUAAGAGCAGAUCAGAUGUUCAACAUGCUGAAUGUAGAUGUUACUGGUACAAAACGUAAAGCUCCCGACAGUGAUGACGAAAAGGAAAAUAGGGAAAAUGAAAAUCGUCACCUUGAAGAAGAGGAUGAUGAAUUUCAAAGCUCAUUGAUU